UAAACAUAGAAGCAUUCUUACAUAAGCUGCAUAAAUAUUGAAUUAUGUUUAACGAAUGGUUGAUUAAUUUUAGCUUAUAAAUCCAUAAAUCCAGCUUCCUUAUCCAGCUUCUCCAAUAGAGCAACAAAGUAUCUAAGAUUCUUAAGUUUAGGCAAGGAUUUUAUAAAAAUGCAAAGGAUAUCCUGAAAAUUUUUUUACAAUUUAGUUGUUGGAAGCUGUUCGCAGCCUUCGAGAAUCAUAAAUUUUCUAAAGAAUCAAGAGAAUUUUUUGGAAAAUCGAUAUCUUUAGAUGAUGCUUCAGAAAUUAGAAAAGAAUCUUUGAAAAUUUGUUUGGAAAUUCUGAAGAAAUUUGAAAUUUUAUAAUAAUGUUUUUUGAAACGAUUACGUUUAAGAGAAGAUGGAGAAGAGGAAGAGGAAAAUAGCAUCGGAA